UUUCGCAGCCAUACCGCCUUGAGCUGUGAUCUCGUCAGAUCUCAUUAGGUAAAUGAAGUCAAACUCCAUCAGUAUUUGGAUGGGAGACCUCUAGGGACACAUUUAUGCUGUAGGAA
rnacentral:rRNA from 1 species